AUCAACAGGAGGACCAUAUCCCACACACGCAUAUGAUCGGUGCGCUGUGUGUGUCGUCUCCACCCCCGCUUCUUCUCCUCUUCCUCCUCCCGCUGUCCGCUCUCGCAUAAGCCAACUCGAACCAGCGAAGGCUAGCUAGCGCUUCCGCCAAGCCUGCAGGCCACGCCGGCCGGAACCGAUUGCUCUGAUUGAUUGGUCAAUCAGUCAUCAGGCCGCAAUCGUAUAGCUCAUCAGCUGAGCGAAGACACUGCUGCUAGCUGCAGGGCGGGCGAGAGCUCAUCUCCACCGGCCGGCCGUCGGCGGCUCAGCGCUUUGCAGGGGCGGCGCGCGCGCUCCGGCCGACGGCGAAGCGAAGCGAAUUAAGCGGCCGAGAGGCGGGUUGUUGUUGUCCCAUCGUUAGCCAUCAAUCAUCGUGUGAUUGAUAGGGAAGGUAUGAGCACACAACAGAUCCUGCUCCAUAAUUAGCACACGUACGUGAUUUCAUGCAUCCGAAUCCAAUCAUCCCGUCCGGUCCGCCCGGCCGGCUGGAAGAAUUUAACUACUUGAACAGUAUAAAAAAAACAUUUGCUUAUCAUAAAAUUAAGAAGAGGGCCUCUAGCUCACAUUAAGCAUAUAUAUGUAUUUACUCCAGUCUCAUUGUUUGGUGUGGAGGAAGAAAAAAAAGAAGGCAUGU
rnacentral:lncRNA from 7 species